rnacentral:rRNA from 1 species
GAUGAACGCUGGCGGCGUGCCUAAUACAUGCAAGUCGAGCGAACAGACGAGGAGCUUGCUCCUCUGACGUUAGCGGCGGACGGGUGAGUAACACGUGGAUAACCUACCUAUAGGACUGGGAUAACUUCGGGAAACCGGAGCUAAUACCGGAUAAUAUAUUGAACCGCAUGGUUCAAUAGCGAAAGACGGUUUUGCUGUCACUUAUAGAUGGAUCCGCGCCGCAUUAGCUAGUUGGUAAGGUAACGGCUUACCAAGGCAACGAUGCGUAGCCGACCUGAGAGGGUGAUCGGCCACACUGGAACUGAGACACGGUCCAGACUCCUACGGGAGGCAGCAGUAGGGAAUCUUCCGCAAUGGGCGAAAGCCUGACGGAGCAACGCCGCGUGAGUGAUGAAGGUCUUCGGAUCGUAAAACUCUGUUAUUAGGGAAGAACAAAUGUGUAAGUAACUAUGCACGUCUUGACGGUACCUAAUCAGAAAGCCACGGCUAACUGCGUGC